rnacentral:lncRNA from 1 species
UAUAAUCAUCCGUGUUGCGACAUAGCGACCAGUAUUCGUUUAGUACGCCUUCUAAUGGUCUCCUACACACUCACAAAAUGCGUUAGCUCACCCUUAGGCUUCAUUCGGCCCUUACGGUCAAUAAAAGACUCAAUUUGCACAUUUUUUUGAAUCUAAAUAAAACUAAGAAAACUUAACUAAAACAUAUAAAAAAAUGCUUGCAUUCAA